AACCAUAGAAACCUGCGGAGUACCUGCGGCGGGAUCAUUACAAGAAUCGAGGCUGACGGUGCCUACUCCCUAGGCUCCGUCCAGUCCCGCUCUCUACCUUGCCUACUGCACCGUUUGUUGCUUCCUGGCGGCGUCCCGUCGCCAGGGCCUUUUGAAAGCCAAGUAUAAGCAUUGAAACUUCUGACAUACACUAAAUCGUACAACUUUUAACAAUGGAUCU
rnacentral:misc_RNA from 1 species